rnacentral:lncRNA from 1 species
AUGAGAUUAAGAGAUCUUUAGAGUGAUUAGAAUAAAGAGAGUGUUUAGGAAGUGAUUAAGAGAAGUUUGUGAAAGAUUAAGAGACUAGAAAGAGCCGUUUAGUGUCUAAGAGAAAACCAUAGUCUAAGAGAUUAGAGAGACUCGAACUGAUUGAUCUUAUUAAUGAGUGAGGUUACAUAUUUAUAUAGAAGGCAUUAGGGUUUACAAGAGGCGAAAUGGGCACUAUUGAAGCAUGUAGAGUCAAGGUUGCUUUCCGGAUGAUUGGAUGGUAAGGCUCACAUGCUUUGCCUCUUUACAGCCUGUUCCAGCCUGGCUCGCUCUUCCCUUAUCCACUCAACGGUCUGAUCCCUUCUCCUUAAGUCCCCAAGGUAACACUCCCUUGUUACCGUUUCACUUGGUCGAGUUGGGUAAGUUUUGGUCGAGACCUUUGGUACGGACGGUACGGCCAUGUACGGCCUUGUACGGACGUCCGUACCAUUCACACCCAAACCCCCUAAGCUUCUCCAUCUCUUCUCCUCUUCAACUCCUCUUCUCUCCAUACCAAUAUACUCAGCUCAACUCAACACUCCCCCUCAAGCUUAGCUUUGUGAAAGCCUAAGCUUGGAU